ensembl:miRNA
UGUUCUGUGUAUGGCACUGGUAGAAUUCACUGUGAAAGCACACUAUCAGUGAAUUACCAAAGGGCCAUAAACAGAGCAGA